rnacentral:lncRNA from 1 species
GUGUACAAUUCACCUUAACCUUUAUUACUAGGUGGCAUGUUUUUGCCAUUAGUUUUGUUACUAUUCACCAUGUGCUUCAUUGAAAUUAUUUUUUGGGUACCAUCCAAGAGUUAAAGCUUCUUUUGAAGCAUUUUCAAAAUUUUAGUGACUGCAAUCUGCGGAUCGAAUUUGCAGAUGUGUAAAAUCUUGAAAUUUUUAGAAUUUUACAUUGUUCUCUACUUAAAUAGAGAACUAUAUUAGCUACUUGUCUAGCUAACACCU